rnacentral:rRNA from 1 species
GACGAACGCUGCCUGCGUGCUUAACACAUGCAAGUCGAACGGAAAGGCCCUGCUUUUGUGGGGUGCUCGAGUGGCGAACGGGUGAGUAACACGUGAGUAACCUGCCCUUGACUUUGGGAUAACUUCAGGAAACUGGGGCUAAUACCGGAUAGGAGCUCCUGCUGCAUGGUGGGGGUUGGAAAGUUUCGGCGGUUGGGGAUGGACUCGCGGCUUAUCAGCUUGUUGGUGGGGUAGUGGCUUACCAAGGCUUUGACGGGUAGCCGGCCUGAGAGGGUGACCGGCCACAUUGGGACUGAGAUACGGCCCAGACUCCUACGGGAGGCAGCAGUGGGGAAUAUUGCACAAUGGGCGGAAGCCUGAUGCAGCAACGCCGCGUGCGGGAUGACGGCCUUCGGGUUGUAAACCGCUUUCGCCUGUGACGAAGCGUGAGUGACGGUAAUGGGUAAAGAAGCACCGGCUAACUACGUGCCAGCAGCCGCGGUGAUACGUAGGGUGCGAGCGUUGUCCGGAUUUAUUGGGCGUAAAGGGCUCGUAGGUGGUUGAUCGCGUCGGAAGUGUAAUCUUGGGGCUUAACCCUGAGCGUGCUUUCGAUACGGGUUGACUUGAGGAAGGUAGGGGAGAAUGGAAUUCCUGGUGGAGCGGUGGAAUGCGCAGAUAUCAGGAGGAACACCAGUGGCGAAGGCGGUUCUCUGGGCCUUUCCUGACGCUGAGGAGCGAAAGCGUGGGGAGCGAACAGGCUUAGAUACCCUGGUAGUCCACGCUGUAAACGGUGGGUACUAGGUGUGGGGUCCAUUCCACGGGUUCCGUGCCGUAGCUAACGCUUUAAGUACCCCGCCUGGGGAGUACGGCCGCAAGGCUAAAACUCAAAGGAAUUGACGGGGCCCCGCACAAGCGGCGGAGCAUGCGGAUUAAUUCGAUGCAACGCGUAGAACCUUACCUGGGUUUGACAUGGAUCGGGAGUGCUCAGAGAUGGGUGUGCCUCUUUUGGGGUCGGUUCACAGGUGGUGCAUGCCUGUCGUCAGCUCGUGUCGUGAGAUGUUGGGUUAAGUCCCGCAACGAGCGCAACCCUUGUUCACUGUUGCCAGCACGUUAUGGUGGGGACUCAGUGGAGACCGCCGGGGUCAACUCGGAGGAAGGUGGGGAUGACGUCAAGUCCUCAUGCCCCUUAUGUCCAGGGCUUCACGCAUGCUACAAUGGCUGGUACAGAGAGUGGCGAGCCUGUGAGGGUGAGCGAAUCUCGGAAAGCCGGUCUCAGUUCGGAUUGGGGUCUGCAACUCGACCUCAUGAAGUCGGAGUCGCUAGUAAUCGCAGAUCAGCAACGCUGCGGUGAAUACGUUCCCGGGGCU